GAAAAUUCUGGAUUACAAGGAAAAAAACAUCUUAAAAAUGGAAGAGUUUUCCCAUCAACAGCACUUCAAAGGUAGUAGAGGUCGUGGGUUUGGAAGGUGCUGUCAAAGAAGGCUGAAGCAAUAGGGGAACAAGCUCGGUUUCAGUGAAUGGUCUAAUCCGGAGGUAAACCUUCAC